AGGAUAAUAGUUAACUAUAACAUUUAAGUUGCAUUUAAAAAGUAUUGGAAAAUAAACCAAUUUAUCUUA
rnacentral:tRNA from 1 species